rnacentral:rRNA from 1 species
UACGUAGGGGGCUAGCGUUGUCCGGAAUCAUUGGGCGUAAAGCGCGUGUAGGCGGCCUAGUAAGUCCGUUCUGAAAGCCCGGGGCUCAACCCCGGGAGGCGGAUGGAUACUGCAAGGCUCGAGUCCGGAAGAGGCAAGUGGAAUUCCCGGUGUAGCGGUGAAAUGCGCAGAUAUCGGGAGGAACACCAAUGGCGAAGGCAGCUUGCUGGGACGGUACUGACGCUGAGACGCGAAAGCGGUGGGGAGCAAACAGG